AUGAUGUUGUUUUCAGCUUUUAGAUCAGACAACAGGUUGAAGAGCCUUAUUACUGGCAAGGUGUUUCAGUAUGUGUUUGAAAAUACCAUUGUGGUCCAUUCUACAUAUACUGGUAAUGCAGCCAUGGUGAUGCUCUUCUCUUCUGCCUAUAGUUUGAGAAAAGGUGAAUCUGAGCCUUCAUCUGAAACCCUGCAAUCAGGGUUUUCACACUCAUUAGUCGUUAGUUUAAGUAUGAGGCUCGAUACUCAGAGAUAA